GGUCAGCUUCAACACCCAACUUUGGAAAUUGCUUCCAAUUCCAAUCCACUUCGAGCACAAAGUGGGAGGCGUUAUCUUCUGAAACCUAACACAAAAUGCCUAGUGGAAGAGAGCCAAUGAGAAAGUUGUGCCGGAGGUUUUUAAGGCGUGUGAAAUCACAACACACAUGUUGCUUUCUUAUCUCGUACUCUUGUUGCAUAAUGAAGACGGCACCACAGUCUCCACCACUUUACACUUCGUGCUCUCACCCUAAUUUCUUUCCCAUACAUUUUUUCACUUUCCAUCCAUCUUCUCUCUGCCCAUAAUUUUUGCCUAAAUAAAAUCAAAUUAAUGCCUAAAACUCUCACUUAUGGUCGGUCCAUUUUCCCUGUUAUAUCUGUCUGCGCGCGUGUGUUCUUUCUUUUUCUUUUUAUUGCUCGAAGCAGGGAAGAUGAUGGCAGGGAAGAAAGGGAAAGUGGAGGAGAGAGAAUAAAGGGAUUAAAGCUAAGGUCUAGUGAGAGUGUGGGCUUUGAUAAAACUUGGUUCACCAAGAAGGGCCCAACUCGUGUUUUUAGUGUUGAAUUGGGCUCAGGCUUGGGCCCCCUCAGCCAACCGUUUAUUAUUUUAAGGCAAGGCCCACGUCUCUGCUCAGCUGAUUGAAUGGGACGUUUCAUUCAAUUGGAGAAGGCGGGGGAAAGGAAAACGAAAAUAAAAUAUUAGGGCUUUUUAAUUGUAAUUGCAGGGUUGCGAGAAAGACAGGGAAAAGAGCAGAGAAGAAAAGAAAAUUGCGGGUUUUCGUAAUGAAAUGCAAGCAAUGAGAGAGGAAGUUUGUCAAUGCUCACAUUCUAUGAAGGAUCAAGAAUGGGCAUUGCAGAGGGCUUUCGCAUUCGCCUCGAAGGUUUUCUUAACUGCUAACAAAGUAACUUUGAUAGUUAAGCUAUUCAAGGACGAGGCAAGUAGAGUCCUCUGAUGAAGCUCACUCCCUGGUUGCAAGCUGUCAGUUCACCUCAUAUGUGAGCUAAGAAUUGGAUUCAGGUGCCUGGAAGCUGUGUACAAAUAUAAUCUCCAUUUGGAACUUUCAUUUCCACAAUUGAACAUUGGCAUAUGUUUCAUCAGUUCUGUUAAACCCUCGUCCAGAGUAAAAGGAAGUCAUGUUGCUAUAAGAAGUGCGGGUCAUCAUAGGCUAGACGAUUCUGUUGUUGGGGCCAAAAGGAAUCCUGUCUUGUUCAGAUGUCCCACGAGGGAUCAUCAUAAUAUGUUAAGAAAAUCUAUAGGAGAGCCAAGAACUCUAGUCAAACAGGCUGCGAAAGUCAUCAACAGAGGAUAUGGAAAAACAAAA